rnacentral:lncRNA from 13 species
AGAAGGAUAAGUGGAUGGGUAGAUGGAUGAAUGGAUGGAUGGAUGGAUGGAUGGGUGGAUGGGUUUAGAAAUGAGUGGGUUAGUAGAUGGAUGGAAGGACAACUGGAUAGAUGGACAAAUGAAUGAAUGCAUGAAUAAACCAGUCAAUGAAUGAACACCUCAUUGCAUGCAACUCUGACUUUACCUCUGGCCAGGAAACUCCUUUUUAUGUAAUUUUUCACAUUUGUUUUAGGACCUGACUUAAAAAAAAUGAAGAACUUGGGCCGAGCACAGAGAUUCAUGCCUGUAAUCCUAGCACUUUGGGAAGCUGAGGCAAGCGGAUCACCUGAGGUGGGAGCUCAAGACCAGCCUGGCCAAUAUGUCUAUGAUUGGAACCUCAAAGGUUUUCAAACAUCAGCCAGGACCCUGAUGUGAGACUGGUUGAGUUGCUCAAGACUGAUGAGGUAAGAUGUAACUGACAAAUAUUUCACAUUAAUUUUUGUUCUAAAGAAGGAAUUCAAGAUCAAGUUAUGGAAUGUGCUUAAAGAAGAACAGGGGAGCAAGUUGGCUGGGUGCGGUGGCUCACGCCUGUAAUCACAGUUUGGGAGGCCAAGGCAGGUGAAUCACUUGAGGUAAGGAGUUUGGGACCAGCCUGGCCAACAUGCUGAAACCCCAUCUCUACAAAAAGCACACACAAAAAAAUUAGCCAGGCAUGGUGGCCAGCACCUGUAAUCCCAGCUACUCUGGAGGCUGAGGCAGGAGAAUCACUGGAACCCUGCAGGCAGUGGUUGCAGUGAGCCGAGACUGCGCCAUUGCAUUCCAGCCUGUGUGACAAGAGUGAGACUCUGUCUCAAAAAAAAAAAGAACAGGAGAGCAAGUUGCUGAAGCUAAUAGUUCCGGGGAGGACCUCUGCUGCCUGUGGAUAAGAUACACAUUAUUAAUUGGUGCACUGUGGGAAACUAGAAAACAGGAAAUCACCACUCUGUAAUAAUAUGCUCUAUAAAUCAGUUCAAACUCAUGGAUUUUGACAACUGCGCUAAGGUCUAGAUGUGCUUCUAUUCCUAAUCAGUUUCUUUAUUUCUCGAAUUCUGGUGUCCAUGUUUAUUUUUAAAAGUUCCUGAGAUUCUAUAAUUAGCAACCACCAUAUGAAUAUUUUUGAAACCAGCCUAGCCCAUAUGAUGGGUAAAACCCAAAAGCAUAAAUGUUUUCACAAUUGAGUAGAAGAUAAUCAAGUAUUAAUAUCCUCUUGGAAUAACAAAAGAAGACAUAAAGUGCAUUUCCAGCGAUAUACAUCUCUGCACAUAAUGCACUGCUAUGACUUAUAAAAUAUAAUGAGCAAUAUAAAAUAUUCCACUAUAGGACAUUCUUACCUAGUUUUGAUGUAGCUAUUUUUUUCCUUAAGGCACAGUUGCUCUUCAUCUUUCAUUAUUAAGUUCAUUUGUACAUAAAGUGUAGAAUACUGAAUGCAAAAAUAUCAACUUCUAGUUGUACUUUAAAAAGUGAAAGAAAAUGGUCCUUGACGCAUAUCAACUGCAUAAUAUUUACACAUUCCAAAACAAUUAAAUAAAAUAAAUCCAGCUAGUGUCA